AGUGGGGAAUAUUGCACAAUGGGCGCAAGCCUGAUGCAGCCAUGCCGCGUGUGUGAAGAAGGCCUUCGGGUUGUAAAGCACUUUCAGCAGUGAGGAAGGUGGUUAGAUUAAUACUCUAAUCAUUUGACGUUAGCUGCAGAAGAAGCACCGGCUAACUCCGUGCCAGCAGCCGCGGUAAUACGGAGGGUGCGAGCGUUAAUCGGAAUUACUGGGCGUAAAGCGCAUGCAGGUGGUUUGUUAAGUCAGAUGUGAAAGCCCGGGGCUCAACCUCGGAAGGCCAUUUGAAACUGGCAAACUAGAGUACUGUAGAGGGGGGUAGAAUUUCAGGUGUAGCGGUGAAAUGCGUAGAGAUCUGAAGGAAUACCGGUGGCGAAGGCGGCCCCCUGGACAGAUACUGACACUCAGAUGCGAAAGCGUGGGGAGCAAA
rnacentral:rRNA from 1 species